CUUAAGAUGGUGUUGAAGUCUUCUCCUUGCCAAUGCCCAUUUUGAUGCUAAUGAAAAACGCAACCAAGGUAUUGAUAAAAUGUGACCGAGAAAGUGAUAAAGGAUUGAAUGCCAUUUGUUCUGUCAAAGACUGCUUCUUUCCUCACGUCUUGCGAGUAAGAAUUUUGCGAGCUGCCUGCAGAGCCACAAUGCAGCAAUGGGGACUCAAAAUUCGCAAAGGCUAGAAUCGUUCUUAUAUCUGGAUUCUGAUAACGAGGUCAGCUGACCGCCACUAGGGAUGGUACCAGAGAGAUUUUUGUUAUAGAAAUCAAGAUCACUAAGAAAUAAGAGAGUCCCUAAAUAAGCUGGGAG
rnacentral:misc_RNA from 1 species